CAUCAUCCCAUGCUGUGUGCAUGUAAGCCAGAAGCUGCACUGCAGCACAACUGAAGGAGUGCACUGUCAACCACUUGUAUAGUAUUGAAAAGUUAUUACAAACUGAAGUACAUGCUGCAGCAGAGAAAGCAGAAGUCAUUUUAGGGAUCCUGCGCAGGUUUCAGAGCCAGACAAGCUUGCCUUCCUCAGUGGAGGAGUCGUCGUCAGAGGACUCAUCUGGAAAAUAUCACUCUCCUCCUGAGACACAGAGAAGUUAUUUAAAGAAUAAACCAAGCCAGU